CACUUUAAGUUGGGAGGAAGGGCAGUAACUUAAUACGUUGCUGUUUUGACGUUACCGACAGAAUAAGCACCGGCUAACUCUGUGCCAGCAGCCGCGGUAAUACAGAGGGUGCAAGCGUUAAUCGGAAUUACUGGGCGUAAAGCGCGCGUAGGUGGUUCGUUAAGUUGGAUGUGAAAUCCCCGGGCUCAACCUGGGAACUGCAUUCAAAACUGUCGAGCUAGAGUAUGGUAGAGGGUGGUGGAAUUUCCUGUGUAGCGGUGAAAUGCGUAGAUAUAGGAAGGAACACCAGUGGCGAAGGCGACCACCUGGACUGAUACUGACACUGAGGUGCGAAAGCGUGGGGAGC
rnacentral:rRNA from 1 species